rnacentral:lncRNA from 1 species
AAAUGGGUUGGGGAGAGGCAGGUGAAAAGGUAUCCUGGACACAUCAAACAAGACCAGGCAAGAUCAUGUCUGUCCAGAGAAGAGUGAGUGAGUCCGGAAUGGCCCCAAACACUGCACAUGGCUGCAUGGUGGUCAGUGAGGCACCGAGUGGCCCAUUUGUCCAUACUAAUGGGUUUGAACUUGCAUGAUUAGAAUAUAGUGAGUCAAUGGCUCUUAACAACAGGGAGGUUAGCAGCAGUUCUUCAUCUUAAGCACGUGAUUAACCAAAUGACGGCAAGGAAGGUCAUGGUCAACCCUACUGCCACCAGUAAAAUGUGGGCUUUUUCUUGCAUUUUAUCAACUGGGCUGGGAAUCCACAGUAGGAACUUGUAUCUGAUAAAAGAAAUUCUGCAUUUUUGUACUCGCAUUUCUAGGCAACCAUGACAACUAGGUCCCUUGAAAGUAUUCCUGUACAGUUUGUUUUUACGUCUUUUAAUUUAGUAAAUUGCCCUGUGAGACUGACACAUAUACUCAUAUGCUGCUGCUUCUUUUUCACUACUACUUUGCUAUUUCUUUGGGUAACUGUCUUGCAGAACUAAUAAUUAGCAUACAAUUAAAUACAAAAGCAAUCAACCCAAGAAGAUACUUCCUAUAAUUUGCUGCAAUCUCACCCGGGCCCUGCAUCCCUUUUACUGUUUGAUAACUGAAGCCUGGGUAGCAAAACAUUCAAUUACAAGCAGUCUCAAUAUUGAAGAAGUACCUGGAUGCAAUGCAAAAUCAAACAAAUUAGGGCUGCCUUGUUUCCUUUGCAGCCUGCAGAGAUGGGGCCUCAGCAGGUGGCAAAAUGCACAUGUUGACCCGAGGUCCACUGGAGUCACUAAUGAUGGAAACCUGGCCAAGCAGCCUUGGAAAUGAGGGGAGCUUUUUGUUACAGCUCUCUUUGCUUUUCUGUUAAAACAUUUGCUUAAGAAAAAUAUGCUGUAUUUCCAAGCCGGGUUACUGCAACAAACACAAGUCCAAAGGCAACACCAAUCACUGGGUAAAAGAGGCAGCCAGGAGCCAUUUGUUGAAAUUUGUUCUGUGCCAAGCACUGUCUGAACAGUGUUGCAAAUUCUCACAAUAAUUCUGUCAGUGGGUCUAUGAUCUUCAUUACAGACUUGAAAAAAUUAAGACUCAGGAAAUUUGGUAGGAACUUAUUGCAGUGGAUGGGUGAGGAAGGAAAGGGAUGGUUUGGACUUUUCAGGGAGGGACAUACAAAGUGGGAAGAGACAUAUUCAUGAUUACACCAUGGUGUGAUGUUUUGCAAACUAAAAAAUGUGUUUCAACACAAACAGAAGAGAGGAAAGCUUGGCCCCAUCUGUCCAUCCUGCAGGACUAGCUGAAGACGGAUUUUGUAUUUGUUGGAUCGGAGUUAAUGGAGAUGCAGCACUCCUAUCCCAGGACAGACUUAAAGAGAAUCCCUUGAGGUUCCCACGAUGUUCAAGUUGCCAAUAUGGUACACAGCUUAGAAGAGACUCAGAAACACUGCAUUACCCACAUACAAUCUGUCACAGUGACAGGAAUACAUCUGUCAUCAAUUAAACAUAAGCCUCUUUAUUGAGCAACUAUAACAUGCCAGGCAUUGUACUGGAUGCCAAGGCCCAAUGGAGGAUAAGACAGAGUCCCUUCUUCAGUUACCUUCUAUUGGGGAAGAGACAAUAAGCCAUAAACAAUAAUGACAGAAAAUAAAUGCUAUCAAGAAACAUACAAAGCAGGUAAGGGAGAUAAAAAUGAGUGUGGGGAUGAUGGCAGGGGUUCCUUAGGGUAGAUGCAUGGGUUGACAUGAGCUGGCCAUGGUGGACACUUGAAAAAGUGAUAUUGGAGCCAAACGCUAGGUGAAGUGACAGAGAUAUCCUACAGAGAAGGGCUCCGAGAGAUGGCAUUAGUGUGGUCCACAGAUGACAAGAAGGGCAAUGUGGCUGCUGGCCCCUAAGGUAGGCAGCAUGAAGCAGAUCUCACGAGUCCUGUAGAGCAUGGUAAGGACUCUGAGUAAUAAACACAGAGGUAAAUAAUAGUAAUGUCAAUUACUUAUGUGCCAGUGUUCUAAGUGAUUUCCAUAGAAAGGCUCACUGAAUUCUCCCAGCAACACUGCUUCAUAGAUGAGAAGUCAGAAUUGGCUCAAAAUCUUACAGCUGGUGAGAAGAGGAACUGAAUUUGAUAGUGAUAAGCACAGUAUUUUAACAAGAAGAAAACAGGAUCCUAGGAAAGCGAGUCACAGCAGAGCUACUUUGUAGGGCUGAAAGCUUUGUGGGUUGGCUGCAUGUGGACUUUGUCCAUCUGUAUGCCCUUCAGGCUGCUGAGAGAUUAAUCUACUAAUUACUGUGCUGGUGCAAAUCAAUAACAGCAGUUUGCAAAAGUGAAAUGUUUAAGGUCCGGGCCAUUGAGUCAUGGUAAUUCAACAAGUCCUUGGUGGAAGGGGUGGGGAUCAGUUGUGAGUCAGUACAGUUUCCCAGCAAGACUUGACAUCGAUCCCAAGGAGACUGGAUCUCUGUUACUAGAAAUACGGACACGGCGUAGAAAUAGAUCACCUUGCCAAAUGCUUCCAUUACAGGCCAGAAUGGAGCGAGUGCAGCAGUUUCAGUAGAGGAAAAACAUAGAAACAUUACCAUAAGGGGAUUCAGUUUUUAGUCCUGCCUCCAUCACGAGCUUGCUGUCAUUCAAGAGAAGGUAUGUCAUCUUCAUGCAUUUCAGCUUUCUCACUGACCAAUGGCAAUAAUACCUACCGCAAAGGAUUUGGGGAGAAACAAAGGCCGUUGAAAGACAUACCCCUUGCUCUUGUGAUAGUCCAGCAGUGGAAAGGUGACAUUCUUAGCAUUUCCAGGGAUGGGAAUGGGGCAGAACUGAUCCCUGAUUCUAAGGGCUUAGAACUGAAAAGUGUUGGUUAUCAUAAGAACAGCAGGAAGCCAAUUAUAGGAAAAACUGUAGGUUCACAUAUCAAAAAUCUUAAGUUUAAGCAUCAAGCCAAAAUGGCUCAGACCCGUAAACCAGGUCUGGCAUCAGGAACAAGAAUGGGAGCAUCAAGAAGAGCCAAGAGUAUGGAGUGAGAGCAGGGCAUAAACUGAGGCUGGAGCUCAGGACUGUAGGCAAAAUGCCCAGUCUUUUAGGUGGCUGGAGGGCAUAAGUGGCCAAGGCAACUGAGCUGUCUCAGAGCUUCUGCGGGUCUGAGGACAGUGCUCUGUGGUUCCUGUAUUCAUUUGUUUUCUCCAUGUCUCCUUUUCUUGUCUUUCACUUACUCAGCAGAAGCUGCUGAGUGUCUACACUGUGCCAGCGUUGUUCUGGCUACAGCGGGGGUGAGCAAAGGGCAGAACAAGCCUGGUCCCUACUCUCAUCGACCCUGUGUGAUCUCAAAGACCUAGAUAAAGACAUUUUUAUUUCUUUAAUAAAAAUAUUAUCUUAAGAAUUUUUAAUAAAUAUAUUUUAAAAAUUUAAUAGGAAAAAAUUAAAAGAUAGUGUUUGUUGUAAAAAGUAGCAUGAAAAUAAAUUGGGACUCACUCAAAUGUCGUCACUCAAUGGGAGGUACUUUGGAUAGUGUAGUCAGAGAAGGGUUCUUUUUUUCCCAGGUUUUAUUUUGAAAAUUUUAAAAUUGCUGAGAGAUUGAACGGCUAGAACCCGACGAUGCCACUCAGGGAGGUUCACAAACUCUUCACUAUUUUGUCACCCUUGCCUUGCUUUUGCUUUGCUGAAUCAUUUAAAAUUAUACUGCAGACCUCAUGAUUGAUACUUUAUCCCAAAUAUGUUAGCCUUUAGCUUGGGAGAACCAAGUCCUUCUUUUGUAUACUUCCAUAUCAUUAGCACAACCGAGAAAUUUGACAUUUAUUCAACACUAUCCAGCAGUAAGCUGUGUGGGCCUUAAUGCUUUAUGGGUGAAGAUUUUUCAGUUGAGAAUAUUAUUGGGUUUCUAUACAACAAAAGAACAAGCAGACUACCAAAAAUGCUACAUUUCAGAUAUUCAAAAUAUAGUUAUGACUGAGGGUAGGUUUUUGGUACUAAAGAUCUAGUAAUGAG